CCAGAAAGAGCAAGAGAGCGCUGUGCUGUUACUUCCCUGUGGCUUCCUUUUUAAAAAAAGGAAGGGGGAAAUAAAGCACACACGCACACACGCACACCUCUUCCCAACUUUUCUUCCAGUUACUCAGUUCUCAAGCCUGUACUGGCAGCCUGUGCAGACAAUCUUCCCUCCAGCUUUGUAGCUGCCUUAGAUUCACAGAGAGGUCAGAAGGAUAGAAACUGUUUUGUCAAGCAAUGGCCCUGCAUUUUUGGACUCAUAUGAAGGUGGAACGUGCAUAGGAUCUGGGAUGAUGGGGAAGACAGGAUAUAAUGAGGUGUGAUGUGAAGAAAAGAAAGGACCCAAACUUUUGGACCUAUAUUGAACAGGACUUGGAAGCAACCUGUAAAACAAACACAAGCAAUCAGUCAUCACAGGGGCCUGCCUCUUGGUCUCAGAAUUUGACCCCGGAAUUUCAGGCACUGGGAUAUUGUUGUUUUGGCAGCCCAAAGCAGGAUGGAUCCAUAUUCUGCCCACCGUCUCCAGCAAUCUUCCACCCCAGUCUGCUCACUGAAACUCACUGGAACUCUCUGGCAAUUGUGCAAACCUGUAUUUCUGUGAUUAAUAGUUAUCUUAGA